UUGACCUUUUCUAUUUUUAAAUCACUCAUAGAGGGUGGGAUUAGGAGGAAGAGUGAAAGAAAAGGUCAA
rnacentral:sRNA from 1 species